AUGGGCUUCGGGACUCCUACACGCAAGGCCCGCGCUUGCAGUCGGCUGUGUCUUCCCUCUCACAGGGGCUGUGGGAAGGAACCCAUCAGGACCUCGUCUGGGGCUGCCUUCCUGCGUGGCUCCUCCACAGCCCUCCCCGUGGCUGCUGACCUCACAGGGGGAGGGGGGAGUGUCCUGCUCCUGCGCCACGCCCCCCGCCAUGGGCCCCUGUCCCGUCGCGAGGUCCGGAGCAGCUCCGGCAGUGACCCAGGGUUCGGGUUCCAUCCGCCGUGCCAGCCGCCGGCUGUGUGGCCCACGAGCUGUCCACACUGCUUUCCGGAGACGCUGGUGCUCGGUGCGGCCUCCUUUAUCUCUGCUCCAUCUUUGCGUUUGCGGUUUGCUCCUGCUCUGGGAGGUGCCUGCUUCUUCAGGAUGUUAAUUUCAUCUGUGCUGAUCACGGUGUUUCCGUGUAUCUGCGUGUUGGGUUCACCCCAUCAUUUACGCCUCCGCGGUGUCUCGACUGUUCCCCAGGCCCCCGGGGGUGCUCUCGGUGCAGGCGACAGCGGCCACAGCCGGCAGCAGGGGACACGGAGGCCGCUCCACGGCUGGAGCCGGGCUGCAGCUGCCUGCCCACGUCCUUGCCAAGUGAGGCCUGGUGGCUGCUGAAUUCUGCAACGCAGGGGGAAGAAGAGCUUCCCAGAGGCUGCAGCCGCCGCGCGCUCUGGGCAUCCGUCAGUCAUCGCUCAUCCACCGAAUGCCCGCGUUUCUUCACAGCCGCCUGUGGGUGCUGACUCUGCGUGGGGCUGCACUGAGGGCACCAAGCUGCCUUUGGACUUUCCUGUCUCUCUGUGGGAGCACCAGGGGUCCCACCAACCCCUCCCCAUAAUCUUCUCAAUUGUAAAAAUUCUAGCUCUCAGCUGGGCGCCUGCUGUUUAAAGCAAGAUUGCAUCUCUGCUGUCUUUGUAGCUCAGGGGACCGUGGGAGCAAACUUUGAACAGGCAGGCACAGGUAAACAUCCCAGUUCACCUUGCAGCAGGUGCCUUCUGCAGGAAGAUGGCAUCUAAGUCUCUGGCUGGAAUGCAGCUAUGAUGGUGGGAGCUCAAGCAGCUCUCUUGGAGUAUGAGUUUCUAGUCAACUGUAGGGGAAGGCAGAGCAAGAAGCUGGGGGGAACAGUCCCGGCGUUUGUGCAGCCGCCAGACCUGCACUUAGGCGCUUGUCCCUGAAUCACCUGUCUGAGAUAAAAAUAAACUCCCGUCUAGCUCGGCCUAGGUUGUUCUU
rnacentral:lncRNA from 1 species